rnacentral:rRNA from 1 species
UACGUAGGUGGCAAGCGUUGCUCGGAAUCACUGGGCGUAAAGGGCGCGUAGGCGGACUCUUAAGUCGGGGGUGAAAGCCCAGGGCUCAACCCUGGAAUUGCCUUCGAUACUGAGAGUCUUGAGUUCGGAAGAGGUUGGUGGAACUGCGAGUGUAGAGGUGAAAUUCGUAGAUAUUCGCAAGAACACCAGUGGCGAAGGCGGCCAACUGGUCCGAUACUGACGCUGAGGCG